rnacentral:rRNA from 1 species
AUUGAACGCUGGCGGCAUGCCUUACACAUGCAAGUCGAACGGCAGCACGGGGCAACCUGGUGGCGAGUGGCGAACGGGUGAGUAAUGCAUCGGAACGUACCUUUCAGUGGGGGAUAACGUAGCGAAAGUUACGCUAAUACCGCAUAUUCUGUGAGCAGGAAAGCAGGGGAUCGCAAGACCUUGCGCUGAUUGGGCGGCCGAUGUCAGAUUAGCUAGUUGGUGAGGUAAAGGCUCACCAAGGCGACGAUCUGUAGCGGGUCUGAGAGGAUGAUCCGCCACAGGGGAACUGGGACACGGUCCAGACGCCUACGGGAGGCAGCGGUGGGGAAUUUUGGACGAUGGGGGCAACCCUGAUCCAGCCAUGCCGCGUGAGUGAAGAAGGCCGUCGGGUUGUAAAGCUCUUUCGGCCGGGAAGAAAUCGCACGGGCUAAUACCCGGUGUGGAUGACGGUACCGGAAUAAGAAGCACCGGCUAUCUACGUGCCAGCAGCCGCCGUAACAC